GGAGAUUUAGCUCAGUGGUAGAGCGCUUGCCUAGGAAGCGCAAGGCCCUGGGUUCGGUCCCCAGCUCCG
rfam:Rattus norvegicus chromosome 14, whole genome shotgun sequence.